UACGUAGGGUGCAAGCGUUGUCCGGAAUUAUUGGGCGUAAAGAGCUCGUAGGCGGUUUGUCGCGUCGAAUGUGAAACCCGGGGCUCAACCCCGGGCCUGCAUUCGAUACGGGCAGACUAGAGUUCGGUAGGGGAGUCUGGAAUUCCUGGUGUAGCGGUGGAAUGCGCAGAUAUCAGGAGGAACACCGAUGGCGAAGGCAGGUCACUGGGCCGCAACUGACGCUGAGGAGCGAAAGCAUGGGGAGCGAACAGG
rnacentral:rRNA from 1 species